GACGAACGCUGGCGGCGUGCUUAACACAUGCAAGUCGAACGGAAAGGCCCUGCUUUUGUGGGGUGCCCGAGUGGCGAACGGGUGAGUAACACGUGAGUAACCUGCCCUUGACUUUGGGAUAACUUCAGGAAACUGGGGCUAAUACCGGAUAGGAGCUCCUGCUGCAUGGUGGGGGUUGGAAAGUUUCGGCGGUUGGGGAUGGACUCGCGGCUUAUCAGCUUGUUGGUGGGGUAGUGGCUUACCAAGGCUUUGACGGGUAGCCGGCCUGAGAGGGUGACCGGCCACAUUGGGACUGAGAGACGGCCCAGACUCCUACGGUAGGCAGCAGUGGGGAAUAUUGCACAAUGGGCGGAAGCCUGAUGCAGCAACGCCGCGUGCGUGAUGACGGCCUUCGGGUUGUAAACCGCUUUCGCCUGUGACGAAGCGUGAGUGACGGUAAUGAGUAAAGAAGCACCGGCUAACUACGUG
rnacentral:rRNA from 1 species